UGUUUUCAUUAAUCAAGAACGAAAGUUAGAGGUUCGAAGGCGAUCAGAUACCGCCCUAGUUCUAACCAUAAACGAUGCCAGCCAGCGAUCCGCCUGUGUUCCUCAAAUGACACGCCGGGCAGCUUCCGGGAAACCAAAGCCUUUGGGUUCCGGGGGAAGUAUGGUUGCAAAGCUGAAACUUAAAGGAAUUGACGGAAGGGCACCACCAGGAAUGGAGCCUGCGGCUUAAUUUGACUCAACACGGGGCAGCCCACCCGGCCCGGACACAGGAAGGAUUGACAGAUUGAGAGCUCUUUCUUGAUUCUGUGGUUGGUGGUGCAUGGUCGUUCUUAGUUGGUGGAGCGAUUUGUCUGGUUAAUUCCGAUAACGAACGAGGCUCUAGCCUGCUAAAUAGACGUUCCGAUCUUCUAAGUCGGACGUUCUUCUUAGAGGGACAAGCGGCGUCUAGCCGCACGAGACAGAGCAAUAACAGGUCAGUGAUGCCCUUAGAUGUCCGGGGCCGCACGCGCGCUACAUUGAAGGAAUCAGCGUGUGCUUUCCCUGUCCGACAGGACCGGGUAACCCGUUGAACCUCCUUCGUGCUGGGGAUAGGAGCUUGUAACUGUCCUCCUUGAACGAGGAAUUCCUAGUAAGCGCGAGUCAAAAGCUCGCGUUGAUUAUGUCCCUGCCCCUUGUCCACACCGCCCGUCGCUACUUUCGAUGGAAUGAAUUAGUGAGGUCUUCGGACUGGCGCUCGAAUCGGCUUCGGGUCGAGUCGGCGUGCCGGAAAGAUGAUCAAACUUGCUCAUUUAGAGAAAGUAAA
rnacentral:rRNA from 1 species